rnacentral:lncRNA from 1 species
AAAUAUCCGCCUGCAGAUUCUACAAAAGGAGUGUUUCAAAACUGCUCUAUGAAAAGAAAGGUUCAACUCUGUGAGUUGAGUACACACAUCACAAACAAGUUUCUGAGAAUGCUUCUGUCUAGUUUUUAUGUGAAGAUAUUUCCUUUUUCACCAUAGGCCUCAAAGCGCUACAAAUAUCCACUUCCAGAUACUUCAAAAAGAGUGUUUCAAAACUGCUCUAUGGAAGGGAAUGUUCAAUUCUGUGAUUUGAAUGCAAACAUCACAAAGAAGUUUCUGAGAAUGCUUCUGUC